GGAGGAACUCUGUAUCUGGACUCCUCUCAGCAUUCCCUCUCACACCUGGCAGAGAUUCUCUAAGGCCAAGGGUGAUGACCUGUGUCAUGCUCCCUCCAUGGACGGGAUGACAUCAGUAAUGUAGUUCUGGCCAGAGCACCUUCCAUUGGGGAGAAUGUAGGGCAUGCCCUUCCCACUGAGAGGGAGUCUGAAAUUUGAGGAGGGCUUCUUCAUUGGUUCCAAGUGGAAGAGAAGAUUCU